GCUCGUGUCGUGAGAUGUUGGGUUAAGUCCCGCAACGAGCGCAUCCCUCCUCUUUUAGUUGCCCCUAUUUGGUUAGGCACUCUAAAGAUACUGCCCCGGUUAACGGGGAGGAAGGUGGGGAUGACGUCAAGUCCUCAUGGCCUUUAUGCCCAGGGCUACACACGUGCUACAAUGGGCGGUACAAAGGGCAGCAAUCUCGCGAGAGGGAGCUAAUCCCAAAAAGCCGUUCUCAGUUCGGAUUGGAGGCUGCAACCCGCCUCCAUGAAGUCGGAGUUGCUAGUAAACGCCGGUCAGCCAUACGGCGUUGAAUACGUUCCCGGGCCUUGUACACACCGCCCGUCACGUCAUGGGAGCUGGUAACACCUGAAGUCGGUGUGCUAACCGCGAGGAGGCAGCUGCCGAGGGUGGGACUGGUGACUGGGACGAAGUCGUAACAAGGUA
rnacentral:rRNA from 1 species